rnacentral:lncRNA from 1 species
CCCAGGAUCGCAAGACUCAUCAACGACUACAGAGCAUGCUCAGUUUCAGAGAAACCUAAUUGAAACGUAAAUAUCUUUUCUUGCUCGCGUUGAAAGUGAGAGACACCAAGUGCUUUUUGUCCCACAUCGACAAUUUAGAGAACAACAAAAGAACUUUAUAUAGCCUGAGCUCGGCUUGGAGGUCACGACCUUACUUGGACAGGAUCUGUUCUAUAGUAAUCGUACCUCUGUAUCCUUGAUUUCUAAGGAGACAGGAAUCCCAACCUGGUGGAUGAAUCAUGACCAUCCGUGUGAUCAGAGCGUGAUUAGGAUCGUUCUCAGUCAGUUUUCACUGUCUGGGGUGGUUACACGGUUGUCUGACAGGUUCCCCCUCUUUUGUAAAAAAUUCCUUUCGUUUUGUUUUCAGUGUUUUAAUCUCUAGCUAGCUUUACAUUUGUUAAAGCAAACACAUUUACCCCUUCUGAAUACAUUUGCUUGUCACAGUUUGGAGGCCAUCCGCUUAUAAACCCACCACACUUUGGUGGCCAAUUUUCAUUAUAUUGAUGACCUGACAAUAUCAUAUAAAUUAGAGUUAAGAACAUGGACUACUUACACUACCAUCCUUUAAGUUUCAAGUGUUUUUUGUGUUUUUACACUAAUAUUCUUUGAGGUUUCAAAUUGUUUUCAUAAAAAUUCUCUAAUUAAUUUUCCAUCUUAAAAUUAUGUAAUCCUUCAGGGAUCUGCCCUUUGUUGCCUUCAAUAUGCUUUUGUAUCUUUGGCACUUGCAUGUUCAUUAAUUUUUCUGGAUUAGGCUCAAUACCUCAUUGGCUGAUGAUGAAGCCCAAGACUUUGUCGAAAGAUAAACCAAAGAACCACUUCAUUGGGUUGCGGCGUAUCUUUUAGUACUUUAGUAUGUUGAACAUCAUCGAGAGGUUAUGAAGGUGCAAAUUGGCCGUUUUUCUUUUGACCAGCAUGUCAUCCACAUAGACUUUCUUUUGUGGUUGAUAUGUUUGGCAAAUAUCUAGUUUACCAAUCACUAGUAGGUGGCUCUUGAGUUCUUCAACCCGAAGGGCAUGACAUUGUAGCAAUAGAGCCCAUUGUCUGUGAUGAAUGUCAUAUGCUUAUCAUCGGCAACGUGCGUGAAAAUAUAAUUAUACUCUAAAUAAGCAUCCAUGAAGUUAAGGAGCUCAUGGCCUGAUAUGGCAUCACUAGGGUAAUUAUAAUUCUCCUAGGAAAGUAAAACUACCUCGGAAGACUCACGUUCAACUACUCAAACUUGGUCAAACGGGCCCACGCGGCCCCAACCUCCAAAUUCUAAUCCGAAAGUUCCUAUGAGUUCUACAAGGUAUAGGACACUCCUCUUACAAGUUUGGUCCAGAUCGGACGGUCAGAUCGCUCACGAUGGCACGAUCUGACGAUUAAUAUAAACAUAAACUUUAAAUUAUUAAAUCAGAACAUACGGGGCUCCGAUUCACGAUCCGUGAAUUCCUACACGAUCCUAGAACUGCCUAGAUUAACAUAUAUUAAAUUCAAAACCAUCUAACGGUCCCAACCUAUCGAACCCGGAUAACGUGCAAUAGGCGAUAUCCGUUCGGGACUUAAAUGGUAUUUAAAUUGAAAUCCGAGCACACCUACGCACUCGUGAGAACCAGGAGAUUACAUCGGGACACAGUGCCCUUUUUCUACAGUGCCUACGCGCGGGCUGCGCGUGGGUGCCCAAAGUGAUUUCGCAUCGUCGGAAAAUCUCAAAACCACGGCUCCAAACUUCUACCCUAGGUAUAACACCCUAUUUGGAACUACUUUUGUUCUUGGACCUACCCCAAAAACUGACCGGAAGUGGCCAGAAUCGCGAUCCCAAAAUCGACCGAAUUUCAAUUCGUAAAUCGAAUUACCUACGUUAGGAAUUGAUCGAAUCCUACCCAAUAGGCAACUAGAGCAUGAAAAGUAGGUGCGAAACCAUACCUUGACCGCCAAUAAUGGCGGUCGGAGGGAGAUUGGAGCUGGCGAAGUUCGAGCAAAAACUGGUCAAAAAUCGUCUUUUUCCUGCGGCCGAUGUCGGGGAAGGGCCAGGUCGUGACGCCGAGGCCGAGCCGGUCCUUUUGGUACCGGUCCCGUCCGCAGCCGCGGUUGGUGGCUGUAGUUUCGAAGAGAGAGAGAGAGAGAGAGAGAGAGAGAGAGAGAGAGAGAGAGAGAAAUCUGAUUUUAUCAAACCAUUUUUGCCAAAAUUACGGUUAUGCCACUGAGGGUAUUUUGAUCGUAUCUCUCUCGUUACAACUCCGAUUCGAGCCCACCACGUGUCUACGGACUCAUCUCGCCGUGCUCUACGCAAUGGUACAAUAAAAAAAAUUCCAAAUUCCUUUCCGAUCAAAAAGUCAACUUUAAUCAUAAUAAAAUAUUGUAGGGGUAAAAUGGUAUUUUCUCUUAAUAAAUUAAUAUUCAGUAAUUUAUUUAGGACCAGGUCGUUACAUUUUAGAUGUCUUCUUGACCACUACAGAAUUGGCCAACCAUGUAGGGUAAUCCACAUUUCUGAUGAAGCCGAACGUGCGAAGCUUGUCUACUUUUGGUCUUCAUGGCCUCAUACUUUUUGUGGUAGAUGACAUCGGUGAAAUGCCAAGUAUAUUUCCAUAUGACAGUGCAAAGACUUCUGAAUUAUCUUUGAGGAAUUUGAUGAAAUCAACCCGAAAAGCCUCAGAAAGAUAGGUACGGAUGCAGAUAAGUGGAGGGUUAUCAAUUCCAAAUCCUUCACUAGUUGGGCUUGAGGAGUAAAAGAUUCAUCUCUUGGGUCCUCUAACCGAUUGGUGCCCUUGCGGUUAGGCAUUUGCAACGUCAUGGUAGAGACAAAGGGUUUCUGCCCUAAUGAUCAUGGGAUCUUCGUGAGGGGAAAUGAUGCCCUUCUCCUCUUCUUUGGAGAAGGUGAUCGGUUCCUUAUUUGUAUUCUGCACCUUGUAGUUGCUCUCGAAUUCGAUACCAUGGACCAUUGGGUACUGAACGUCAUGCACGCCAUUUUUUGUAGAGUUCUUGCUCGUGCCGGCAAAAGGUGGGGCCAUCACUGAUGGUCUUGAUCAUGUUGAUUUGCCUAUUAAGCUUUUUCUAUGGAGGGGGUUGGUAGCUGGGGUUGGUGGUUGGCAUAUUGCACCAGCUUGCCCUCUUGUAUCAAGCACUCCACGAUUUUGAGCCAAGAUAUGAAAGAUUAGGUAUCCUAGUCGUUGUGUUGAUGAUACCGGCAGAAGACACCCAUAUUUGCUAAAAGCCUUCUGAUGAGAUGGCUUCAGAAUGGUGUUCAACAUGGUGAACGGCCCUGGCCGAGGCUUGCUUCAGGCAGGCUAUUAGGAACGGGACUUGUCUUCCUCAAGUUUUUUUUAUCUUCUGGAAGAUGAGACAAAUGGUGAGAUCAACACUUGGGAGCUCAUCGUCUGCCGAACGGCAAGGUGAUCUUGGCAGAGGUUGUUGAGUCCCUUUACCGUUGUGCGCUAUCGAACGUUAUGGGUCUCUCUCUGGCUCUUCUUAGCCCUGGUAAAGCUCUCUCGUCAUCGGGUUGUGCCGCCAGAACGUUUCGCGAGGUGAUGCCCGUGUCAUUGGCAAUGUGUUCCUACUGAUCGGUAUGACUCUGUUGCUUCGGUAUCAAUUGGCAGUUAGACUCUAACUUAUAAGGGAGGGGGAUUUCACACACACACAUACACCUAUGAUGUCAUGGAGUUUCGAACCUGAGACCUCUGGUCUGUAAGUCAAGACCCUUUCCAUUACACUAGACCCCUGUUGGCUUAUUAAUGUUGUUUUUAAAUUAAGUAUGUAGUACUCAUUUUUAUUUUUAAGGUUUUCUUUGGGGCUAACGACAUUAUAGCCCAUAGAGGUGGGUCAUUUUCAAAUGGGCCAUGGAAUUUCAAUUUCAUCAAUUGACACAUCAACGUUGUAGAAAUUGACCAAUUUACACAUUCCGUCAAAUUCAAAGUUAUCCUAAACCCUAAAUCAUAUAUGAGGAAUUAAUAUUCUUGGUUUUUUUUUUUAAUAUAUAAAAGACUCAAAUUAAAAACCAUGCAAUAUGACUCGAUUUUUUUCCCUUGCUAUGUCUUUGUAAAUAGGUAUUAGAAAAGGCCAACUGGAACUAAAAGUGGAAGAAGGAAUGUGCCAGUGAUUCUGUCGAAAAUGGUUGGAGUGAUUGGAAGCCCAGUAUCGCGACACUCAUCAACGACUACAGAGCAUGCUCAGUUUCAGAGAAAACUAAUUGAAACGUAAAUAUCUUUUCUUGCUCGCGUUGAAAGUGAGAGACACCAAGUGCUUUUUGUCCCAUAUCGACAAUUUAGAGAACAACAAAGGACUUUAUAUGGCCUGAGCGAGGCUUCCAGGUCACGACCUUACUUGGACAGGAUCUGUUCUAUAGUAAUCGUACCUCUGUAUCCUUGAUUCCUAAGGAGACAGGAAUCCCAACCUGGUGGAUGAAUCAUGACCGUGUGAUCAGAGCGUGAUUAACAUUCUGAUGGUCCCUUGUGAUCCUCAUGACAGUAGAGGAUCGUUCUCAGUCAGUUUUCACUGCCUGGGGUGUGGUUACACGGUUGUCUGACAGGUUCCCCUCUUUUGUAAAAUCCCCCUUUCGUUCUCUUGGGUCCUCUGACCGAUUGGUGCCCUUGUGGUUAGGCAUUUGCAGCGUCAUGGUAGAGACAGAAGGUUUCUGCCCUAAUAAUCAUGGGAUUUUCGUGAGGGAAAAUGAUGCCCU